rnacentral:rRNA from 1 species
CGCCUUGCCAGCCCGCUCAGAAACUUAAAGGAAUUGACGGGGGCCCGCACAAGCGGUGGGGCAUGUGGUUUAAUUCGAAGCAACGCGAAGAACCUUACCAGGCCUUGACAUGCAGAGAACUUUCCAGAGAUGGAUUGGUGCCUUCGGGAACUCUGACACAGGUGCUGCAUGGCUGUCGUCAGCUCGUGUCGUGAGAUGUUGGGUUAAGUCCCGUAACGAGCGCAACCCUUGUCCUUAGUUACCAGCACGUUAUGGUGGGCACUCUAAGGAGACUGCCGGUGACAAACCGGAGGAAGGUGGGGAUGAACGUCAAGUCAUCAUGGCCCUUACGGCCUGGGCUACACACGUGCUACAAUGGUCGGUACAAAGGGUUGCCAAGCCGCGAGGUGGAGCUAAUCCCAUAAAACCGAUCGUAGUCCGGAUCGCAGUCUGCAACUCGACUGCGUGAAGUCGGAAUCGCUAGUAAUCGUGAAUCAGAAUGUCACGGUGAAUACGUUCCCGGGCCUU